UGGCGUUGACUCCAAUGAACCGCAGGCUUCACCCCUUGUGGUGCUCCCCCGCCAAUCCUUAAGUUCAUACUUGCGUACGUACUUCCCAGGCGGCAGACUUAACGGCUUCCCUGCGGCACUGCAUUGGCCACAAGCCAAUGCAUCACCGAGUCUGCAUCGUUUACAGCUGGGACUACCCGGGUAUCUAAUCCGGUUUGCUCCCCCAGCUUUCAUCCCUCACCGUCGAACGUGUUCUGGUACACCGCCUUCCCCACAGGUGGUCUUCAAUAGAUCAAAGGAUUUUACCCCUUCCUAUCGAGUACCGUGUACCUCUCCCACUCCCUAGCUGCACAGUAUUUUCGGCGGCCUAUACGUUAAGCGCAUAGAUUUAACCGAAAACUUAUGCAACCGGCUACGGAUGCUUUAGGCCCAAUAAACCUCCUGACCACUCGAGGUGCUGGUUUUACCGCGGCGGCUGACACCAGAACUUGCCCACCCCUUAUUCACCAGUGAUUCUACAACUGACGAAAGACUCCUUUAGCAGGAGACACUCGGAUUACCUUGUCGUGCUUUCGCACAUUGCAAAGGUUUCCUCGCCUGCUGCGCCCAUAG
rnacentral:rRNA from 1 species